rnacentral:rRNA from 1 species
UACGUAGGGUGCGAGCGUUGUCCGGAAUUAUUGGGCGUAAAGAGCUCGUAGGCGGUUUUGUAAGCCAGAUGUGAAAUCCCCGGGCUUAACCUGGGAAUGGCAUUUGGGACUGCAAGGCUCGAGUGCGGCAGAGGAGACUGGAAUUCCUGGUGUAGCAGUGAAAUGCGUAGAUAUGCGGAGGAACACCGAUGGCGAAGGCAAUCCCCUGGGCCUGCACUGACGCUCAUGCACGAAAGCGUGGGGAGCAAACAGG